GAUGAGCGCUAGCGGCAGGCUUAAUACAUGCAAGUCGUGGGGCAGCAGGUCUGUAGCAAUACAGAUGCUGGCGACCGGCAAACGGGUGCGUAACACGUACGCAACCUUCCCGUUACUGGGGAAUAGCCCAGGGAAACUUGGAUUAAUACCCCAUAUUAUAUUGGUUAGGCAUCUGACUGAUAUCAAAGCUUCGGCGGUAACGGAUGGGCGUGCGGUUGAUUAGGUAGUUGGCGGGGUAACGGCCCACCAAGCCUACGAUCAAUAGCUGAUGUGAGAGCAUGAUCAGCCACACGGGCACUGAGACACGGGCCCGACUCCUACGGGAGGCAGCAGUAAGGAAUAUUGGGCAAUGGACGAAAGUCUGACCCAGCCAUGCCGCGUGAAGGAUAAAGGUCCUCUGGAUUGUAAACUUCUUUUAUCUGGGGCGAAAAUCGGUUAUUCUUAGCCGCUUGACAGUACCAGAUGAAUAAGCACCGGCUAACUCCGUGCCAGCAGCCGCAGUAAGAC
rnacentral:rRNA from 1 species